AGUAAACAUUCAUCUCCCUGACUCAGGCUGCUGCUUAGAAAUUCUGUUUCGGUUGCAGUUCCAUUGUGUGGAGCCAGUACUACAACUUCUGAUGGUUUUUUGUUUGGUAGUUCCUCCUGCAUUCAUUUCUCUUCCUGCUGCCUUGUGAAGAAGGUGCCUUGCUUCCCCUUCACCUUCUACGGUGAUUGCAAGUUGCCUGAGGAUUCCCCAGCCAUGUGAAACUUUCACAGAGUUUGAGAGAAACUGUAUUCAAGUUGCUGAAACCAAGAAGCUACACUCACGAGUCUCACCUAAACUCGAAUCUGAUUUAGAUGACAUCAUCCUGGACUUUGAGUUGAUGAAACCUUGGAGGUCUUGGGAGUAAAGCAAGUGUGAUUUGCAUAUGAUGGAUAUGAAUUGUAAUGGCCAGAGCAUGGCUGUGGUUUGGUGGUACAUGUGAAUGUUUGUUACACAGGUAAACGUGUCACGCGGGGUUGUUGUACAGAUUAUUUAAUCAU
rnacentral:lncRNA from 1 species